UCCUAGAGAUAGAAAACGAGAAUCAGGGCAGCUCUAUUCCCACACAGCGCUUCUUGUUUUAGCAGCAGGACCAUCCGUCAUCUAGAUUAGGAAGUGUCAUUUAUAAUAGACAGCUAAGACUUGAAUGAAACACCAACUCUUUUAAAAAUAAACAUACGUAUUUAUCUACUUCUGUGUAUCACUGCCUGCUCGGGCUUAAUUAAGUCUGACAACACUGUCCAGAAUAUAGUAUUUCCAUUUUUCAUGCCUAAGAAAAAUUAUCAUAGCUCUAAUGUUCACGAUAACGUGUCCUGUAUAUACUGAUGAGAUAGAGUACUGGGAAAGUUGUUGCCAUGGCAACUGACACUGCAUUAAAACAGUGUCAAAGUUAGUUUCUUCGCAUAGACUACAGAAAACAUUACAGUAGUAAUGACUUACUCUGAUACUAAUUAAAUUACUGUGUAACACGUACCAUUUGACUUAGGCCACCUCUCUGGCGUACAAUACUUUUGUCCUCAAAGCCACCAACUGUACAGUGCUGGGCCUGAGUUCUGAGUGUCUUACUGAUUCCUCACUCUGUCACAGUGUCAAGGCUCGUUCAUCCACACCUCAAGUGAACAACAUGCAGUGGAGACAUCUGUAGUGAUGCCUGUACAGCAUUCGCUCUUUCUCUCAUGAUACAUUCCACUUCACAAUUCGUUCUAAAGAAAGUAGACUUUGCUCUUCUGCUUGGGAGUGGACUAAAAAUGGUCUUUGAGUCAAACGGCUGUGGAAUCAGUCACCCACACACAAAACUCCUCAUGUAAACACGUCUAGCUGCUUCACUAACUUGCCUAAAUGCCACUUUUUGCUUGAGUUGUGACUUGGGCACUAUCGUAUGACACAGUGUAAGGAUUGUUUCAUGAGAUGGAUCAACUUGAUGUAACCUUUUAACACCGCACAGAAGGAAGAAAGUAUGCCCAAGCAUCCCUACUUCCUUCCCAGUCUCAAACUCCAAUCAUCUUCCUUGGGCUGGCAGGGGUGUUCUCCUGAUCACACAGUAAAUUGAUUCAAUCCAAUAUUCCAUGUAAAAAAACAACCAACAAAAUGUAUACAGAGCUAUUAACUCUAUGACUGGGUCAGUUCUCCGUGGUUUCUGGCUUACUGUGGGACCAGUUAGUCACUGGAGUCAGCAAAAAGCAUAGUGGCCAUUUACAAAAGACAGGUUCCUUUCUCUGUUCUAGGAAUUAGCAACAUUAAGUACACAGAAGAUUGUUCUCUGUCUUCUCUUAUCAACCAGGAAGGAGGCUAAUCUUCCUGCUCCUGGCCUGCUGCCUGUGAUAUGCUUAGCAAUGCGAGCACAGGGACGUACAGAACAGUUUUUAUUCACCGUCUGAGCCAAUAAGAUGACAGUCAUUAAGCAUUCCUCAGUCAUCAGUGAAUGUAAACCUACAGGGAACUGUAUAUUUUACCAGGAUAAAGCCUCUUCUUGACAAAUGCUCCUCCCAUUCAAGUUCAUCACACUCUGAAGUUUUUGCACAUCUGGCUGAACACUCCUGGAAAUCUACUGCAUGCUUCAGCAGGAAGCAGCUAUUAGCUUUUAGUGCAGACAUCACAGAGAUGGAAUUGGCCUACAAUUGACUUCCCAUCCUUGAUGAAGAUGCCUAACAACUGGAUCUGUUUUGAUAUCAAACUCACCAAGUGGGAUUUCCCUAAAGAAACUCAGGAAAGAAAACUGCACUCACUCAACUGUGGGAUCCACACAUCAUGACAACGUUCCCAGGAAGUGUAACCAAAACAAUUAGGCAACAUGGUCACAACAUCAGCACAACAGAUUAUUUGCCCUUCUCAAAAGAAAGGCAAGAUAGUCUGAUCGAAAACAUACAGAGCAUCUCCUGUAAAUUCAAAGCCACAGAAGAGCCCAUGAGACAAGAAUGACCUGACUGGAAUAGUUUCAUCUCUGGUAUCUUCUCAUAUAAACCUCUCUGACAAAGAAUGUGCAUUUCACUCAAGCUGCCACAACACUUUAGCUGUAGAGACUGCUUUAGAAAGGCUCUGGCCAUAAUUUGUUUUCAGAGCUUUAACAUCAGAGAGAACUAAUGCGGUUGUUUGGGCAAGACCACUGCAGAGACAGAACAGAAGCCUGUAUAAAAGCAUACAUUUUCAAGACACAUUUGUGAAAUGCUGCUGAAUGUUUGACUACUCAUUGCUUCAAAAGGCCUGACAUACUGCAUUAAAGGUCGACUUUUCCAAUACACUACUUAGUGUUGUUUGUAAUACUGAGGAAUUCCUUUUAGCAAGAUCUCUACACGCAUACCUAUCCACUCAUCACCACACAACCUACUUUCUUGAUUGAAACCAAAACCAUCAUUAAACAUCACUGUAAGGCUUGUUUUCCCAACCUUGGGCAGUGUUGGUGGCCCUCCUGGAAAUUUGCUCUAACACUUCUCUGUUGCCCUAAAAGAGA